rnacentral:rRNA from 1 species
CCUACGGGUGGCAGCAGUGAGGAAUAUUGGUCAAUGGACGCGAGCCUGACCCAGCCAAGUAGCGUGAAGGAUGACUGCCCUACGGGUUGUAAACUUCUUUUAUAUAGGAAUAAAGUGAUGCACGUGUGCCUUUUUGUAUGUACUUUAUGAAUAAUGAUCGGCUAACUCCGUGCCAGCAGCCGCGGUAGUACGGAGGAUCCGUGCGUUAUCCGUGUUUAUUGGGUUUAAAGGUAGCGUAGAUGGGUUGUUAAGUCAGUUGUGAAAGUUUGCGGCUCAACCGUAAAAUUGCAAUUGAUACUGGCAGCCUUGAGGACAGUGGAGGUAGGCGGAAUGCGUGGUGGAGCGGUGAAAUGCUGAGAUAUCACGAAGAACUCCGAUUGCGAAGGCAGCCUACUAAACUGCCACUGACAUUGAUGCUCGAAAGUGUGGGUAUCAAACAGGAUUAGAGACCCGGGUAGUC